CUGAUCCAGCCAUCCCGCGUGCAGCAGACUGCCCUAUGGUUGUAAACUGCUUUUAUACAGGAAGAAACUUUCCACGUGUGGAGAGCUGWCGGUACUGUAAGAAUAAGGAUCGGCUAACUCCGUGCCAGCAGMCGCGGUAAUACGGAGGAUCCAAGCGUUAUCCGGAAUCAUUGGGUUUAAAGSGUCCGUAGGUGGAUAAUUAAGUCAGAGGUGAAAGUUUGCGGCUCAACCGUAAAACUUGCCUUUGAUACUGGUUAUCUUGAAUSAUUGUGAAGUGGUUAGAAUAUGUAGUGUAKCGGUGAAAUGCAUAGAUAUUACAUAGAAUACCAAUUGCGAAGGCAGAUCACUAACAAUGUAUUGACACUGAUGGACGAAAGCGUGGGGAGCGAACGGGAUUAGAUACCCCGGUAGUCCACGCCGUAAACGAUGGUCACUAGCUGUUCGGACUUCGGUCUGAGUGGCUAAGCGAAAGUGAUAAGUGACCCACCUGGGGAGUACGGUCGCAAGAA
rnacentral:rRNA from 1 species